rnacentral:rRNA from 1 species
CUACGGGCGGCUCCAGUUAAGAAUCUUCCGCAAUGGACGAAAGUCUGACGGAGCGACGCCGCGUGGGUGAAGAAGGCCGAGAGGUUGUAAAGCCCUUUUCUGCUUGAGGAAUAAGCCUGGUAGGGAAUGACCGGGUGAUGACGGUAGGGCAGGAAUAAGCCCCGGCUAAUUACGUGCCAGCAGCCGCGGUAACACGUAUGGGGCGAGCGUUGUUCGGAAUCAUUGGGCGUAAAGGGCGUGUAGGCGGAAAUGCAAGUCUGGUGUGAAAGACCGCAGCUCAACUGCGGGGACGCGCUGGAAACUGCAUAUCUUGAGUUCCGGAGGGGGAGUUGGAAUUCCUGGUGUAGGGGUGAAAUCUGUUGAUAUCAGGAAGAACAUCGGUGGCGAAGGCGAACUCCUGGACGAGGACUGACGCUGAGGCGCGAAAGCGUGGGGAGCGAACAGGAUUAGAUACCCUGGUAGUC